AAGAGACGUUGCCCUUCGGGGUAUACCUCCCACCCUUUGUUUAUUAUACCUUUGUUGCUUUGGCGGGCCCGUCCUCGGACCACCGGCUUCUGCUGGUCAGUGCCCGCCAGAGGACCUAAAACUCUGUUUGUUAAUAUUGUCUGAGUACUAUAUAAUAGUCUA
rnacentral:misc_RNA from 1 species